rnacentral:rRNA from 1 species
GGAUGAACGCUGGCGGCGUGCCUAAUACCUGCAAGUCGAGCGAACAGACGAGGAGCUUGCUCCUCUGACGUUAGCGGCGGACGGGUGAGUAACACGUGGAUAACCUACCUAUAAGACUGGGAUAACUUCGGGAAACCGGAGCUAAUACCGGAUAAUAUAUUGAACCGCAUGGUUCAAUAGUGAAAGACGGUUUUGCUGUCACUUAUAGAUGGAUCCGCGCCGCAUUAGCUAGUUGGUAAGGUAACGGCUUACCAAGGCAACGAUGCGUAGCCGACCUGAGAGGGUGAUCGGCCACACUGGAACUGAGACACGGUCCAGACUCCUACGGGAGGCAGCAGUAGGGAAUCUUCCGCAAUGGGCGAAAGCUUGACGGAGCAACGCCGCGUGAGUGAUGAAGGUCUUCGGAUCGUAAAACUCUGUUAUUAGGGAAGAACAAAUGUGUAAGUAACUAUGCACGUCUUGACGGUACCUAAUCAGAAAGCCACGGCUAACUACGUG